GGAGGUAUCGCAUAGUGGUCUAGUGCGCACGCUUGGAAAGCGUGUAUAUCGCAAGGUAUCGGGAGUUCGAAUCUCCCUGCCUCCUCCA
rnacentral:tRNA from 1 species